rnacentral:tRNA from 1 species
CGGGAUGUAGCGCAGUUUGGUAGCGCACUACGUUCGGGACGUAGGGGCCGCUGGUUCAAAUCCAGUCAUCCCGACCA